AACGUAGGACGCAAGCGUUAUCCGGAGUUACUGGGCGUAAAGGGCAGGCAGGCGGGUCGAUAAGUCGGAUGUGAAAUCUCCCUGGCUUAACCGGGAGAGUGCAUUUGAGACUGUCAACCUGGAGGGCAGCAGAGGAGCGUGGAAUUCCGGGUGGAGUGGUGAAAUGCGUAGAGAUCCGGAGGAACCCCAGAGGCGAAGGCGGCAUCCUGGCCCACGACUGACACUCAGACACGACAGCAUGGGGAGCGAACGGG
rnacentral:rRNA from 1 species